GGCCGAGGCUCGGGGUGAGUGAGGGGCGGCAGGGCUCUGAGCCUGGCGGGUUCCGGCUAUUCCCUUCGCGGUCCAGUUUAGUCCACUGCGAGGGCACCUGCAGCGCCGGGAUCUGAGUGCGAAACUCCGAGCGGAAGCUGGUCUGGCAGGUCCUCUGGAGCUUGGGGCCAGGCGGGGGCGACUUGGGGGAGCCAUCCUUGGGCUCCCAGACGGAUUACUCGGGAGGCUGAGGCAGGAGAAUCGCUUGAACCGGAGAGGCGGACGUUGCAGUGAGCCGAGGUCAAACCAGUGCACUCCAGCCUGGGCAACAGAGCGAGACUCCAUCUGAAAAAGAAACAAAAAGAAAAAAAAA
ensembl:lncRNA novel transcript